CCCCNGGGGGGCCUAAACAUGCAAGUCGAGCGGAAACGAGUUAUCUGAACCUUCGGGGAACGAUAACGGCGUCGAGCGGCGGACGGGUGAGUAAUGCCUAGGAAAUUGCCCUGAUGUGGGGGAUAACCAUUGGAAACGAUGGCUAAUACCGCAUGAUGCCUACGGGCCAAAGAGGGGGACCUUCGGGCCUCUCGCGUCAGGAUAUGCCUAGGUGGGAUUAGCUAGUUGGUGAGGUAAGGGCUCACCAAGGCGACGAUCCCUAGCUGGUCUGAGAGGAUGAUCAGCCACACUGGAACUGAGACACGGUCCAGACUCCUACGGGAGGCAGCAGUGGGGAAUAUUGCACAAUGGGCGCAAGCCUGAUGCAGCCAUGCCGCGUGUGUGAAGAAGGCCUUCGGGUUGUAAAGCACUUUCAGUCGUGAGGAAGGUGGUGUAGUUAAUAGCUGCAUUAUUUGACGUUAGCGACAGAAGAAGCACCGGCUAACUCCGUGCCAGCAGCCGCGGUAAUACGGAGGGUGCGAGCGUUAAUCGGAAUUACUGGGCGUAAAGCGCAUGCAGGUGGUUUGUUAAGUCAGAUGUGAAAGCCCGGGGCUCAACCUCGGAAUAGCAUUUGAAACUGGCAGACUAGAGUACUGUAGAGGGGGGUAGAAUUUCAGGUGUAGCGGUGAAAUGCGUAGAGAUCUGAAGGAAUACCGGUGGCGAAGGCGGCCCCCUGGACAGAUACUGACACUCAUAUACGAAAGCGUGGGGAGCAAACAUGAUUAUAUACCCUGGUAGUCCGCGCCGUAACCAUUUCUACUUGGAGUUGUGGCCUU
rnacentral:rRNA from 1 species